rnacentral:rRNA from 1 species
UUCCAUAUUGAUCACUAAAGUUAAGCAAUGUUGAUCCUGGUCAGUACCAAGAUGGGUGACCGCUUGGGAAUAUCAGGUGUUGGAAG